AUGCUCCCGCCGCAACUCCCCGGACCCGCCGGGCACCUCCCGCUCGCCCUUGCCGUCACCGCCUCCUUCGCCAUCAGCUGCAGCGGCCGCUCCCGCCGCCGCCGCCGUGCGAAGCCCAAGCCCAUCGUGUUCCCGCCCCCGCCUCUCCGCCGCCUGGUCUCCUCCUCCCUCCGCCGCCUCCUCCCGCGCCCGCGCCCUCUCCGCGGCGGAUGGCUCGGGCGAAGGGGGAGGCGGAAGGCGCCCGCCGAGGACGUGGUGCUGCUCGUCCUCUCCCUGGCCCUGGGCGACAGGCUCGCCGUCCUCGCGGAGGCCUGGCGCGCGUCGGGGCUGGGCCAGGCGCUCGGCAUCUGGGCGGCGGUGUGGGGAGGAGCGAGGAGGAGGAAGAGGACGAGCGGGCUCCGGAGGCUCGCGGCGCUGCUGCUCGGGAUCGCGUUCUGCGCGCUCGCGUCGCAUUUCAGAGGGGCGGCGUUCCUGGAAGGCCUCCGGAAGACGGGCGGCGGCCGGAAAUUAGCGCGGACUUUCCUGCACUGA
rnacentral:rRNA from 1 species